rnacentral:rRNA from 1 species
CCUACGGGAGGCAGCAGUGAGGAAUAUUGGUCAAUGGGCGUACGCCUGAACCAGCCAAGUCGCGUGAGGGAAGACUGCCCUAUGGGUUGUAAACCUCUUUUGUCAGGGGGCAAAUGGAGCUACGUGUAGCGUUAUCGAGAGUACCUGAAAAAAAAGCAUCGGCUAACCCCGUGCCAGCAGCCGCGUGAAUACGGAGGAUGCGAGCGUGAUCCGUAUUUAUUGGGUUUAAAGGGUGCGUAGGCGGAAUGCCAAGUCAGCGGUAAAAUCGCGGGGCUCAACCCCGCUCCGCCGUUGAAACUGGCGUUCUUGAGUGGGCGAGAGGUAUGCGGAAUGCGUAGUGUAGCGGUGAAAUGCAUAGAUAUCACGCAGAACUCCGAGUGCGAAGGCAGCAUACCGGCGCCCAACGGACGCUGAGGCACGAAAGCGUGGGUAUCGAACAGGAUUAGAUACCCCUGUAGUC